rnacentral:rRNA from 1 species
ACGUAGGGCGCAAGCGUUGUCCGGAUUUAUUGGGCGUAAAGAGCUCGUAGGCGGUUUGUCGCGUCUGCUGUGAAAGCCCGGGGCUUAACCCCGUGGUGUGCAGUGGGUACGGGCAGACUAGAGUGCAGUAGGGGAGACUGGAAUUCCUGGGAGUGCGGUGAAAUGCGCAGAUAUCAGGAGGAACACCCGUAGCGAAGGGAGGGCUCUGGGCUUUUACUGUCGUUUAGGACCCAAAGCAUGUCGAGCGAUAAG